rnacentral:rRNA from 1 species
GUGGGGAAUAUUGGACAAUGGGCGAAAGCCUGAUCCAGCCAUGCCGCGUGUGUGAAGAAGGUCUUCGGAUUGUAAAGCACUUUAAGUUGGGAGGAAGGGCAGUAAGUUAAUACCUUGCUGUUUUGACGUUACCGACAGAAUAAGCACCGGCUAACUUCGUGCCAGCAGCUGCGGUAAUACGAAGGGUGCAAGCGUUAAUCGGAAUUACUGGGCGUAAAGCGCGCGUAGGUGGUUUUGUAAGUUGGAGGUGAAAUCCCCGGGCUCAACCUGGGAACUGCCUCCAAAACUGCAUGACUAGAGUACGGUAGAGGGUAGUGGAAUUUCCUGUGUAGCGGUGAAAUGCGUAGAUAUAGGAAGGAACACCAGUGGCGAAGGCGACUACCUGGACUGAUACUGACACUGAGGUGCGAAAGCGUGGGGAGCAAACAGGAUUAGAAACCCUGGUAGUCC